UUUAGUCUCAGCAGGAGCAAGUAGAU
rnacentral:piRNA from 1 species